UUGAUGACCACCAAUAUGGUGCAAGAAGGGAUCAAGAUAGAGACCGCGAUGACAGUGCUUGUGGUGGUAGUGGAAGAGGUGAUGUCAGGUCUCCAGAUGUGAGGCGGCAUGAUCAUAAAUUUUCAGAGCAAGACACUGGUGCACCACCUAGUUAUGAAGAGGCAGUGAGUGAGUCUCAAAGCCCACCAGCUCAUAGUGAAA
rnacentral:misc_RNA from 1 species